GGCCGGAAGACAGCUGAACACACACGGCCAGUGAACCGGAAGUGUAGUUUUAAGUCUGUCUAAACGGCAACAAUCAGAGCAACCGCUGCUGGUCCUUCCUCACAGACCCUCCUACUGCCUUGGUAGACCAUAUGGACCACAUGGACCUGACCUUCUGCCUCAGACGGACCUCUGAGCUCCUCAGCUGAUGUAAAACCAGCAGCCUACAUCCCGGUUAACACUACGUUAACCACAAUCCUUUGCUGUCACGCUGAAAACUCGCGAAGAGGUCAAAAUAAAACCGGCGGUGUUCAGGUCACUGUGGACGGAGUGGAGAUCCGUAGUGUCACCUGAACCUGAAGGAACCUGCUGACAGAACCAGGAGAAGCUGCUGUAGAACUUCAGAGGAGAAGCUGCCUUUAGCUGUUGGGCGCCUCUGAUGGCUGGUCGGCUCCUGAAAGUUUCUUCUCUGGCCACAGCAGUGUUUGCCUCCUCAGGGUUUUACUUCUAUAGCAGACAGCUGGACCUCAAUGACCUGAGUGUCGUCCGCUUUGGACGAGCUGCAGCCACCACGGCGGUCAUCAGCUACGACUACCUGACAGCUUUCAAACAUGUGGAACAUGGAACAGAUGAGUACUGGGCCAUCAAGUCCAAGGUGCAUCGGCGAUCAGCAGAACGUCUUCGAGACUUGUGUUGCGCCAACCGGGGAACUUUCAUCAAGGUCGGCCAGCACCUCGGGGCUCUGGACUACCUGCUGCCUGAAGAAUACACGUCCACGCUGAAGGUCCUGCACAGCCGAGCUCCUCAGAGCAGCAUGGAGGAGAUCCAGCAGGUCAUCAGAGAAGACCUGGGGAAGGAGUUGUCAGAAUUAUUUGUCUCGUUUGAGGAGAAGCCUCAGGGUGCCGCCUCCUUAGCUCAGGUCCACAAGGCGGUGCUGCAUGACGGGAGGACAGUGGCCAUCAAAGUCCAACACCCCAAAGUACAGAGACAGAGCUCCAAAGACAUCAUGGUGAUAGAGGUGUUGGUUCGGGCCGUCCAUUGGCUCUUCCCAGACUUUGCCUUCAUGUGGUUGGUGGAGGAGGCCAAGAAAAACAUGCCGCUGGAGCUGGACUUCCUGAAUGAGGGACUCAACGCUGUGAAGGUGUCCAACAUGCUGGCCGACUUCCCCUUCCUCAAGAUCCCUAUGAUCCACUGGGAUCUUUCCACCAGGAGGAUCCUGACCAUGGAGUUUGCAGAAGGAGGGCAGGUCAAUGACAGGGACUACAUGAAGAAGCAUCACAUCAACGUCAACGAGAUCUCAGAGAACCUGGGUAAGAUAUACAGUGAAAUGAUCUUUGUCCAUGGCUUCGUUCACUGUGACCCCCACCCCGGCAACGUGUUGGUCCGAAAGUGUCCCCAGAGCAAGAAGACCGAGAUCGUUCUGCUCGAUCACGGCCUGUAUCAGGUCCUGCAGCCAGACUUCAGGCUAGACUACUGUCGGCUGUGGCAGGCUCUGAUCAACAGCGACAUGUCUGGGAUGGAACGUUACAGCCGCAGACUGGGAGCUGGAGAUCUGUACCCGCUGUUUGCUUGUGUUCUGACCGCUCGGUCCUGGACUGCUGUGAAUGCUGGAAUCACUUCGGUUCCUGUUACACACUCUGAGGACGUGGAGAUACGGAGCAACGCAGCUCAGUACCUUCCCCAGAUCAGUGAGCUGCUGAACAGAGUUCCCCGACAGAUGCUGCUGCUGCUGAAGACCAACGACCUGCUGAGGGGCAUCGAGACCACUCUACAGACCAGAGCCUCCUCCUCGUCCUUCAUCAACAUGUCCCGCUGCUGCAUACGAGCCAUGGCCAGGUAAAAACUCUACACUCUCUUAUACUCUCUGCUCUCUUGUUGUACUGUUUUUUUGUUUGUGUAGAUUUAAUUUAGGCAUUUUAAUAGUAGCAUUAACGCUACAGUGAAAAUUUAAUGAAAGUAAAACAGAUGCUGUGAAUGUCAGUUUGAAAGAGUUCAUUCCACAGUAUUUGACUGAAAAACCUGCCAUGUAAUUGAAAGUGGUGUUGAGACGUUGUUGUCUUGCGCUCACUUCACACCACAGGUAACAAUGCAAUGCUUUGCAAAAAAAAAAAAAAAAAGACAAUCCUUUGGGUCUACAUAGAUUUUAACGAAUGCUCUGUGCUAGCUGGAAAUAAGGUUUCCUAUAUGAGGUAUGCAGGAAGAAUAGAGUAUGAACAGACAAUAUUUUUGUUUAAUGUAUUUUCAUCUCCCUCCAUGCAGUGCAGGCUUUUUAACCAUCUCACAGAAAUAUAUUAGCUAUGUUGUGUUGAUUUCCACCAAUUCCAUAUGUGCAAAAGUAAUUAUGUGACUGGACAACACAAAUGGAUUGUUCACACAUAAAUGAGCGAAAGGUAUCGAGCCUUCAUUCUAGCUUAUUUUUUCAUCAAACACCAACAUAAAGAGCAGAUAAAAGAGGAUGACAGAAAAACAUCUCAUCUGUUAGAAAACAGAAAAAGGCACUAAGAAACGGAUGCACAAAGUACAGCUGCAGCUCAACAACUUCAUGAAAACGCGAAAUAUUGCAUUUUUUUGAUGAUAAUGGCUUAAAGUCUAUGAAAAUCAGUGAUCCAGUAUUUCAAAAAUAUCAAACAUUUAAUUUCAUGUGUGAGUAAAUUACAGUUUGUAUGGUAUAAAUAUGAUGUUCCUCUCAGUCUUGUUCACUACACUCAACCACAACCCUGGGAAAGACGGCUGACUUGAAAGUUGUCCAGAAGAUCACUGACACCUUCCACAAAUUUCAUUUGGAAAUUGAGGUCAUAGAGUCUGAAGGAAAAGUGGAGAGGCUCACAAUCCAAGACAUUUGAAGUUUCCACAGUCUGAUGAUCUGAGAUGUCAUUUCAUCUUCUAGCGUUGGUCUACUGUGUUUAUCAAGUCCAAAGUCAACGCAGUGUCUACCAGGAGGUUUCAGAGCACUUCAUCUGCUGCCAAGCUUCAUGGAGAUGCUGAUUUCAUUUUCCAUCAGGACUUAGGACUUGACCACAAGGUCAAAACUAUAACCAAAUGCUUUGCAGAAGCAUCACAUUACUGGGCUUGAUUUUCCAGCUGACUCACCUGACCUGAACCCCAUAGAGCCUCAUAUGGGGUAUUGUCAAGACAUAGGUGAGAAACACCAAACACAAGAAUACAGACGAGCUAAAGGCUGCUAUGAAAGAACCUGGACUUCAAUAACACCUCAGCAGCACCACAGCCUGAUCACCUCCGUGCAAUGCUGGUGUAGUAAUUUGUUGUGAAGGAGCUCCAAGCAAGUAUUGAGUGUAUAAAUUGAAUGUAUAAAUGAACAUAUUUUUGACAAAUUGGACAUUUCCGUAUUGUAAAAUCUGUUUUUUGUAAUUGCUUGAUUAUAUAUUAUUUGAGAUACUGGAUUUCAGAUUUUGAAAAUCUAAAAGCUAGAUCUGAAUUUGCCCAAAAUACAAAGACAAAACAUUGAAGUUUUUGGCGCAAAGGUUCAAGGACUAUGGACAUCAGACAUCAGAAAUGAACCUUUCUGCGAGUGAUGGAAAACCAGCUGUGUGGUAAAAGACAGGAAGUGCUUAUGGUCCAAACCAUUCCACAUCACCAGUAAACCAUGGAGGAAGUCAUGUGGUGGCCUGGACAUGUAACUGGCUCACUUGUCUUUAUUGUUGACAGACCAGAUGAUGGCAGCAGCUGGAUGAAUUUAGAACAGGACAGACACAUUUAGUUUGGAUUCACACAAAGCUGUUGCUCCAGUUUCAUUGAUGAGGUAGCAAGACUAGCCAACUGCUCUGAAGGCCUGGAAUAUAGAACAUUUCCACAGAAGAUAUUCCAAAUAUUAGACUUAAUUGCUUUUAUUUGCUUUGGCUCUGAUACCUUUUGGACAUCUGUCUCGUUGUUGUUUCAUCUCAAGUUCAAGUGUUUACGAUAGCAAAAGCUGUCGACUAUUACCAUUCUUUGGAAGGAUGCAGUAGAAAUGUAGAUCUUCAAUGAUUUUUUGAAAGCAUUUCAAAAUAUAGAAACAGGGUCAAAGUAGGACUUCAGUGGCAGCUGAUUGGACUUGCAAAUCUGCCGCAGUUUGAGGAAUUCUUUUAUCUGUGAAUAAUGACCUUCAGUUUCUGUAAUAUAUGAAUACAUAGUGGAAAGGGGAGAUAGUAGCAGUGACAAAACAGACAGAAAAUCAAACUGAGGGGACAAGUUGGUGGCUUUGCAAGGGAAACUGAUAUGUUUCCUUACAGGUUGGGUGAGACGUGAUGUGUACUAUCAUACACACACACACACACACACACACACACACACACACACACACACACACACACACACACACACACACACUCUCUCUCUCUCUCUCUCUCUCUCUCUCUCUCUCUCUCUCUCUCUCUCUCUCUCUCUCUCUCUCUCUCUCUCUCUCUCUCUCUCUCUCUCUCUCUCUCUCUCUCUCUCUCUCUCUCUCUCUCUCUCUCUCUCUCUCUUGACAGUGGUAGAGUUUACCUGAAUAAGCACAUCUUAUGAAAUAUUAACCAGGUGUAGUGCCAUAGAUGUAUACAGUAAUCCUCCCAGGGGAUCCUGCAGUGCCACCUCACUCCUACACUCCAGCAUUAUGUGCUCAUAGUUGCUCUGUUUCACUGUAUCACAAUCCUUCUAUGACUCGCAUGAUAUUCCUGUGCUGUGAGCCAGCAGAUCCAGCCCCUGUCAGGUGUAUAGCACCUUCUCUCAUAUGUUCUUGAUAUUUCUCAAUGCCCCAUAAAGGAGGUGAACAUGAUUACUGCCAGGGCCUAUUUGUGUGCAGUUAAAAUGUUGAAAACACACAUGAACUGAAAAUUUCCACAGCUGUACCUGUCAGUACUGGUCUAUACAUGAUCACUCUGAGAUUCAAAGGAUUGUCAGGCUAGACAGUGAUCCAUGCUAUUAAUAAUAAUUAAAACAGUCUAGGGCUGCUCAGUGGAUCAGUGGUUAGCUCUGUCACCUCACAGCUAGAAGAUCCCCGGUUCGUGUCCCGGCCUUCCUGGGAUCUUUCUGCAUGGAGUCUCCAUGUUCUCCUGUACAUGUGUGGCUUUUCUCCAGGUUCUCCAGCUUCCUCCCACAGUCCAGAAACAUGCUGAGGUUAAUUGGUGAUUCUAAACCGUCUGUAGUUGUGAACAUGAGUGUGAUUGUUUGUCUCUAUGUGUAGCCCUGUGAUAGACUGUUACCUGUCCAAGUGUCCCCUGCCUUCACCCUCAGUCAGCUGGGAUAAAAUUAAUCGGUGUAUAGAUGAUGGAUGUUUAACUCUAAAAUCAGUGUUCUCGCUCCACUGAACAGCGGUUUGCCUCUUCUUAUUCAAUAACUGAUGUUGGUUAAUGGCUUCAUGUAACUGAUGUGUCGGAUGAAGCUGUUGGUACCACAGUAGUGGGACCUUUUUUCUAUAAAAUGUGUUCAAACCGUUUCAUCUGCCAGUUACAGUGGAGUAGAUGAGUGACCCCAUAGCUUUGGUCUUAGUUUGGCUCUUUAGAUGUUUUACAUGAAUGAUGGCUACACAGCGAUGGAUGAUCUGAUCCCUACUGAGGCUGGAUCCACCUCACUAGCUGAGGCUGUCUAGUAAACAUCAUUGCCAGUGAGUUUUUAGGAGAAAAUGAACAGGAGUCAAAGAAUACCAGGGUGUGUGGAGUCUAAUCUAUCUAAGUGUAGAGGGUUAAGAACAGUGGAGUGUUAAAGAAUAUCACUACGUCAGGCAAACAGGAAGUCUCACUGUAAUAUCUAAUGACAUGAAGUCCAGAAGAUUCUCAACAGAUUAUAUGGCAGCACAUUCAAUUUCAAAUAUAUGACUGAAUAUAAGGCUAAAGUGCCAAGAACAACUUCACAUUUGAGAGGUUUCUAUCAUGAUGAAACUGUGCAGGCUAUAACUCUGUCAACAUCUUCUACCUGAAUUGGAAAGUUUUUAAAGAAUGUUUCAUUGGCAGCUUGCAGCUGGCAAAGGGUCCAAUAGGAAGCAGGCAGAUGUCUGGAAUGUGCUUCUACAAACCUAUGAAAUAAAAAUAUAAAUGAAGAAAAGCGUGGAAAAAAAGGAUAAGCUUAUCACCCAAAACACCACCUCAUCUGUCAGACAUGGGGUGUUUCUGUCUUUGGCUGUAAGGCUCCCACUGGAACUGACUAAAUGUUAUUAGAUGUAGAUUGUUGUUCUUUUUUUAAAUUGCUCUGGUACAGAACCUAUAGAAAAAAAAGAACGCUCUUUUGUCUCACAUUUCACAUCUCUGUCUCCGCAAAAAUGAGAUAGUUAAAGACUGAUGUGGAUAAAUUCUAAUUUGAAAUGCUUUUCUGGUAUACAAACUUAAAGAAACAAGUGCCAAAAUAUGCAUUCUCUUACUUUCCCUCCAAUAAAUCAUAAUCAUGUAAUUUUACUAACUGACGAGUGACACUACAAUGGAUAAAACUCUUCCAAGAUAUGACUUAUUUAUUGUUCAGUACAGGUGCUGCAGCAUUUUUCAUGGAUUCCUGUGUAGGACCUGACUUUUGUUAAAUGUAGCUGUGUUGAUAAUUAAGAUGUAUUUGUGCUUUUUGCCAUUAGUUGUCACUGUUACUACCUUUGUCAGCCUAUAGGAUCAUGUAAGCUGUCCAUCCAGAGCUACCAUGUUCUAGAUUUUACAUUUGGCUAGCUACUUAAAAUGCUAUUUACAUGAUCUGUGCUUUGCUCUGAAUCGAUCCUGCAAUCUCAGUUAGUUUUAUUGUAUUUCUUGUGAUUUACGUGAAAACUGCAAUUUGGGAGGAAACUAUGUAACCGUGGGUUCUCAUUCCAUAUUUUCCAGCUCCUUCUUGGGUUUCUCAAGGCCUUUCCAGGCUUGUCCUUGAGUCUCCACCAAGUUCAACCUUUUAACAUUUAAAUCAGAUGCCCAAACUAUCUCAACUUCCUGCAACAGUCAGCCAGAGUGUUUUCAUACACAACCAUUGAAUAGUCUGGGGUCACUUAGAAAUAUCCUUAUUGUUGAAAGGAAAAUAUGUUUUAAUGAAGAUGUCAUUAAAUAAAUGAUAAAUCCAGUGUAGACAUUGUUAAUGUGGUAAAUGGCUAUUCUAGCUGGAAACAGCUGAUUUUUAAUGGAAUAUCUCCAUAGGGGUACAGAGGAACAUUUCCAGCAACCAUCACUCCUGUGUUCUAAUGCUACAUUGUGUUAGCUAAUGGUGUUGAAAGGCUCAUUGAUGAUUAGAAAACCCUUGUGCUGUUAUGUUAGCACAUGGGUAAAAGUGGGAGUUUUCAUGGAAAAUAUGGAAUUCUCUGGAUGACCUCAAACUUUUGACCAGUAAUGUGUUGAUUUAUUUAUUGUGAUAAAGAAUCUUCUGGCUAUAGGAGACGAACUUCCUGGAAUCCACAUUCAGAUGCAGCUCUUUCCUGUCCCAUAUCCUUUCUAAGCUCGCUCUAACAGACGGACACAUCAAGCUAAAAGUCAACAUUCAUUUGUGAAUUUACUCAGGAUUCAAACUUUGAUUGAAACUUUCCCAUCUAACCUGAUCUGCUAACUCAUCUGUGCAAUAAAAACUCUGUAAUUAGCUAAAAUCUCCUAUCAUGGCUUCGAUUUUUUUUAAAGCCUGACAACAGACCCGAGGAAGGAGGAAGUACAUUACAUACAAUCACAAUAUGUUUAAAUGUUAGGAUGCAGUUUAUCCACAGUGAUGCCAAAAUAAUAAAGCACCUAUCCUGAGAGGAUGCCGUGUGUCUUGUUAACAAAAUUAUUAAAAUGUGUUUUAUCUGACUGAGGUUUAUGCAUGUUACAAUCUAUGGUUCUCUAAUAUUAUCUAAUGUAGGUAGCAACAUGUAAUCAGAUGGAAACACUGCAGCCUAUAGCCUUCCUAUACAUAAUAUUUCUUUAUUUCUAUGAUCAUCCAGUCGCGUCUGUGCUGCUGAACAUUUGUCACAGAUAAAGCCAUUUCUGUAGGUUUAGGUAUUCAGUAAGAAAAUCUCUUGGGAGGAGUACAUACAACUUAUGUACUCAUUACAUUAUUAGAACGCUGUAGCAUGAAAUACAAUGAAGAGAAAAAGUAGAUGACUGGAUGGAAUGGAGCUGUAGCAUUACAUUUACAACAGUUAUGACCCAAAAUGCCUUGCAACACUUGUUCAGGGUGUGUAGGUGAGUGUCUGUGUGAGUAAGGCACUCCCAUUCAUUUUUAGAAAAGAACUUAUUGGACAUUAGAGGUGUAUUUUUUGGUAAAAUAUCCUUUGCGGUUAAAUUCAUUGGCUGGAUUCUGAAAUAUAAUUUGUUGUGCUUCAGAUCGUUUAUAGCAGAAUUUAUUUGCCAAGCUUUGGAGAGAAGACCUAUUUUUAAAAGACUGAGCAGUAAAAUAACUUGUAAUUUUAUUGGGAAAUGUAUUGUUUGAGAUCUGGACAGUGACUCAGUGGUUAGUUCUGUCACCUCGCAGCUGGAAGAUCCCCGGUUCGUGUCCCAGCCUUCCUGGGAUCUUUCUGCAUGGAGUCUCUAUGUUCUCCUGUACAUGUGUGGCUUUUCUCCAGGUUCUCCAGCUUCCUCCCACAGUCCAGAAACAUGUUGAGGUUAAUUAGUGAUUCUAAAUUGACUGUAGGUGUGAAUGUGAGUGUGACUGUUUGUCUCUAUGUGCAGCCCUGUGAUAGAAAGAAUAAACAGCUUAUUAACCUUUGAUUAAACAAUAAUUCUGUAAUGUACCACUCAUCCUGUUUGUGUGUGUGUGUGUGUGUGUGUGUGUGUGUGUGUGUGUGUGUGUGUGUGUGUGUGUGUGUGUGUGUGUGUGUGUGUGUGUGUGAAAUGAGGUCAAAGAGCAGAGAAAAGUUUUUUAACUAUUUGAGAAAAGGAAGCUCCUGGUAUGACUCUAUGCUGAUUCUGUUUACUACUCAUUCUCUUUUCUUUAGAAGACUCUAACACACACACACACACACACACACACACACACACACACACACACACACACACACACACACACACACACACACACACACACACACACAGUUCCUUUAGUCACUUGUGUAGCUAAUUAGUCCUUUCUUUUCCCAGCGUUGUCUUCUGCUACACGUCCAGCAUUACAGAGUGUCUGGCUGAACUCUGUGUGCUUUCCUCGUGUAGAGGACAGCCAUUUUUGGUAAACACUGGGUGUGUUUGCCCAGAGGGUGCCAUUCUUUUGUUUACCACCAUCCAAAAGAAAAAUGGAUUGUCUUCGAUGUGUUGCUACAGAAAUCGUAUGAAGGUAAAGGUUUGGAACAGGGAAAGAAAAGGAGAAAGAAAUAUAUUUUAUAUGUAAUCACUUUAGUUUUUUUUGUGAAAGGUGCUGGGUGGGUGUCUUUGCUAAUGUAUUCUUUACUACUCUCUGUCCUCCUUCAGCCAUGCUGUCUCAUUGGACUAACCGGUAAAUCUAAAUGAACAAAAGUUUAGUCCCGAGGAACAGAGGGUCAGCCAGAGAAGACUCUCUGAAGCCUUCAUGCCACAUGAAUCCAAAGCCCUGUGUGUCUUCACAAAAGCUGACCUGUGAGGGGAAGUAAAUAUUCUGAGGUUCCAAAAUGUGUCAUGUACUGUGUCAGUGCUUUUAGCCUGAUAUGCCAGAGGAGAAGCAGUAUGUGGGGAUUAGGGACGUAACUUCAGCCUUGAAGAUAGACAGACAGACAGACAGACAGAAUUUUUAUUGAUCCUGCCGCUGGAAAAUUUUGGCGAUGACAUCCAAAAACAGAAGUCAAAGCACUAAAACUGUGCACUUGUUGAUCUUAUAAGCUUUGCAGAACUUAGUCGUACCUAAUAAUACUGUAUAUUAAUAUUCAUUGUUAACUUGCUCCUCAGACUGUUUCUCACUGUAGGUGUUGCAGCUGAAAGGCCGAGUCUGAUUUCCUUAAAUACCAGAAGAAUAAAUCUGCAUCAUGUUAAUUUAAUGGAAUACACAUGGCAGAUUUUUGACAAAGUUUGUUUAUAAUCAGAUUCAGUUCUGCCUUAAUGAUGGAGCAGUGAUACAGAUUAGCACAUUAACUUAAACAUUCACACAGUUCACAGGUUCUUUUUCCAGCUUUGCUUCCUGCUUUGGCUGCACAAGCUGUGCUGCUUUUAGCCUGCAUUACGUUUUAAAUUCCUCAUGUUGACUUAGGAUUAUAGUGAAACUCUAGAUUUGUCUAUGUUCAUCACCUGGUGCCAACACUUCUUUUUUGUGAAUGUGCUCAUAGUUUGGCUUGGGUUACCUAAACAAGCUGAUAAGCACAGUCGUAGUUUAGCUUCAUUCUGGUUGUACAUAGUGGGAGAAAUAGUUUUUACAGCCCCAAAGUUUGCUGUUUCACUCAUUAAAAAAAAAAAAAAAUUCUUGAAAAUAAAGAAUUUGUUUGUACAGAAUGUACUGAAUACACACCAGUCUGCUUAGUGCAGUGAAGUAAAGGAGGCUUUUCACAUUAUGACAUCUGGCAAGUUCAGGAGUUCAUGUGCAGGACCACUCUGUGGCAGAAGAAGGCAGUUCUUGGACUUCUGCCAGGAAGGGGAACUAUGCCAGUUUCAGUUCAGUAGCAGACUCUGCCGUGCCUUAUGAUUUUUAAACCAAGCACUUAAAAUCCCAAUGACUCCACCAGGCACCACCAACCACUCCUAGGAGGGUUUCAGACAUCAGAUGGAUUAACGGGACCCUGAUCCUGGACUGGAGGAGGCACUUUAUGAAAAACCAGGCCCAAGACCACAUUUCCUUCCUCUUGAUGGAUACUCUACCUGUGUCUGCAAUGUCAUAUUUCACAUUUAAUGAAAGAAAACAACAUGUAUGUCUGCAGUUGCCAAUGUUGUAAGACUAAGAAACGCUUGUUUACAGAAAGUGAUUAAAUAAUGGAGUAAUAUAACAUCUUUAAUUUUCCAUAUCGAGCAAAAUGAAUUAAAAUUCUCUCUUUUUUGACAGCAUUAACUGUUACGACUGGCUCUUUGGCCGCAACAAAGGAGGAAAUGCAUAUAAAGGUUUUUCUGCAACUAAAGACAAUUUAUUAAGACAACACAAACACAGUGGGGUGUGUAGUAAACAUCAGUGUUGUGUGAGGGUGUUUGAUGGCAGUGCUCAAUGUGUGGUGCAUUUUGAUACCAUAAAACAGACCAAACUAACACAAGAUGCAUGGAUGGCUGGGUGUGAGAGAGGAGAGAUCUGGCUGAGCAGACCGGCUUCUAUAACCAGGAUACCUGCAGGAGAAGAACCAGAGAGAAGACCAAGGCUCCAGGGCCAUAGUGCAAAAUAAAAUUUUUAAAAAACUGCAGAAGUUUUGUAAAACCACAAUUUAUGGCAAAGGUGAUAUGUUGGAUUGCAACACGUGUGAAUGUAGGAUUCAUAGAGACGUACAGAAUCGGUGGGUCAACAUAGUGCAAAUACCAAUGAAAUAAACUGUCACAGCCCCUCCCUCUCCUGCUCUGUUAUCCAGCUGAUUAAAAGGGGCUGUGCAGGAGCACAGCCGGCUUCAAUCAGUAAUCACCAGCAGUUAAAAGCCUGGCUCUUCCCACAGCUGAGACAGAAUUUAACAGGUUUAAUGAAGAACUCAGGGAGAGAUGAGGGAGGGGGAACUGGGUUCUGGGGGAAUCAGCUGUCUUCCGGGCUGGAGGCAGGGGCAGCAGAGCCAGGGGAUGACGGUGGGUGGUCGCCGAGGAAAGGCGCGAGUGUGGCGGCUGGAAGCAGGCGGAGGCUUGGCGGGGGGUGAACGGAGCGGCGGCUUGGGAACUCAGCCGAGGCGAGCCAGAUACAUGAUGAAGAAUGGAACCUGGACUCUCUGGUCACCGUGGGAACUGCUGUCACCAAACCAUCCACUGGAGUACUGGACUCAACUUUCUGGAUGUCAGCGAUAACCCAGCCGCUGAACACUGGACCCAACUGGGAGUGAAGCCAACGCCCUGGUAAGCUCCACUUCAAAACAGAAGGAUUCAUGGACUGGUACUGGUAGGGAAAGCUUGGUGGGGAGCUCCUCUGCCAUCCCCAGGCACCUCGGAGCCACCAACAAGUUCUCCAUUCUGGAUUAUGCUCCAGUCUAUGCUGCCUGUACUGAACCACUCUGGUGAAGGAGUUUAGCUGGAAGACAAAGCUCCCCGUUUACCACACAUUCCACAUUUUAUAAUACUGAGCUCUGGGUAGUGAACAGUUAAUGAGUUUGUGCACGCAAUGCACCUGAAAUGAGUUUUAUCUGUAGGGUGGCUGGGCACACAACAAAGAAAAGCUCUGACAUCCAGAGGUGGUUCAAAGUAGAUUCACUGUUUGCUUAAGUAGAACUGGGAGCCAGCUGGGGUUGGCUCAGACAUCUGUUUAGGAUGCCUCAGGUGCUUUGAUUUCCUGUGGAGGUUAUUCUGGGCAUGUCCAGCUCGGAGGAGACUCCAAGGUAGACCCAGAACCCACCGUUCUUCCAAUCAGACAUGCCCAGAAGAGGAAGCAUCCUAAUCAGAUGGUGGAACCACCUCAGCUGCCUCAUUUCAACAUGAAGGAACAACAACUCCACUCCGAGCUUCAUCUGGUUGUUUCAGCUCUUUACUCAAUCCCUAAGGCUGAGUCCAGCUGCCCUAAAGAGGAAAUUUUAGUUGGUUGUAACUGCAGCUGCAUUGUUUCGGUCAUGACAAGAACUCAUGAGCAUAGAGGAGCUGGGAGAAGAGAUUGUAAUGUAGAUUUACGGUCUGUUACAAUGCCCACAUUACUGUUGAUGCUGCGCCAGUUUAUCUGUUCAACUCAAGACGAUUUGAUCAAAUAUUUGGACAUAUCUGAAUCUAAGUGUCAUCUCAAACUUCAAGGCUUCUCACAAGUAAAAAGAAGUUUGUAAAGACAUUUUAACCUUUUUUUAAGAAAUAAAGAUGUUAAGCACAUUUUAUCACUCCUUAAGGCCCUGUAGGAACAAUCUAACAACUUUAAGUGUCAGAUGAGGCUUGACGAAGUUUAUACAUUCUAUAAAAAUCGUAAAAGUUGUAAAAACUCCACCACAGUUCAUUUGUGUAAUUGCAGCAUGCAGUAUCAAGAAGAACAGCAGUGUUCUCAAUGCAAGACACCACAGCUGUGCUCACACAGAGAAGCUGGUCGUCAAAUCAGAAAUCUUGGCAUUGAGCCACAAACAUGGAGUAGUUACAGUUCAUGCACAUGUCUAGACAUCAAGCUCGAACAAAUCUCACCCAGACACUUACAAGAAAGCAUAAAUCAUAGCCUCAGGAAGUCCUCAGUGUGGCACACCGUGUAAGGUUCAAAGAGUUCAGAAAAAUGUUUUGCCUCCAUGAAAAGUAACAGUGUGGGAAGGUCUACAGUUUCGUUCAGUAUGUACACUACACAUGUCAAACUCAAGGCCCUUGGGCCUCAUCCAGCCCAUGAAAUAAGACUAUAUGUUUAUCAGGACUGUGCCACUGGUAUAUAGUGUGGGAAUAUGGCCUUUUAUAUAUUGUGAUUUUCUUUAUUUGCAUGAUUAUUUGGUGUGUGGUUUAUCUUAUAUUUUGUUGUGGAAUUAUUUGCUUGAUUCUUGUGUUGGUUUUUUAAAUUGCAUGUUUUGUUGUGCUGUUUUUCUUUGCAUAUUCCUUUUUUCCCCCCUUGUUUUUAAUGAGUUUAGGCCACACCCACUACCUGCUGGUGUGUAUCAGAACAGACUGUGGACAUUGGUUGAGCGCACCUGGUGCCAAUCAGCUUGACUAACAGGGCUGAACCUGGGGCAAUGACAGCAAAUAAAAGGCACAAUCAGACUAAGACCGAGGAGAGCCGGCAGGAAGCAGACAGAGCAGAGGAACAGGCAGCGCGGCGAGCCGCAGGGCGCGCUGCGGUGCAAGCCGCCGUGGCGAGCCACAGACAGACAGACAGGCAGUGCGGCGGCGGCAGAAGCAGCGGGGAACGGCAGCGUGCAAGGGGCAGCACGAUAGAUAACCGGGCAGAAGCGGCGGUGUAUGACGAGCACCAGGGCGGACUACUAGGCUGAAACAAGGGCGCACAGCACCGGCACAGAGACAGGACGACCGAAGAGCGAGAGAGAGACGCACGGCAGCCGUAAAGUGGGGCCAGGUCUGGAACGCACGGCGGUGCUCAACGCGUGUUUGCGGCAUACUGGGCGGCUUGGAUAUCGCCGCCCAGACCCGGUGAGUCGCUACACACGGGAGGGAGACGCGUGGGUCCUGUUAUUACUUCCCCCACUGGCAGAUCCUCUCUUUCUCCCAGGCUCCAGAGCCUGCGUGAUCGCGAGGCGCAGCACCGUGGCCCCUGAGGACUGGAGAAGCUCCCCCUCAACCCCCGUCAAAGAAGGCCCCGCAUGACGAGUCUAGUGGUCACCCAUUCCGUAGUGACUUGAUUUUAAGAAUUUUUAGCUUGUUAACUUUUUAUUGGUAUUUUUAUUGUUUAUUCUUAAGUGUUAUUUUUUUUAGAUGAAUAAAUUUAUUGGAAUGAAAAAAAUGGUUUUAUCCUCUGUUGUUAUGCUCUGCUCACCUCUGGGUUAAGAACCUCUUUUAAAACGGGUCCUAGUCCCUUACUAGGUGGCGUUGUCAGUUUUAAUCGUUGUAAUCCAAACUAUCCAAUUUAAUUCUAUUUUAAAAGCUUCAAUCUGAGAGACAUACCCCACUCGGCCGUGACAAUAGUACAUACUAGGGGUGGAAAAAAAAUGGCGAAAUAAGAUUCAAAGACGCACGAAAUAAAAAACGCGAAGGGGCGCCGUGCACCACUGAAACUGAUGAUUUUUGACCCUCCUUGCCUACCGUAGCAAAACAUUUGCUUCAAAACGGAGGAAGACGAGGUUGAGGAAUUAGCUGAAACUCCUUUGUCUAAUAAAUCGGUCGUGGCUUCCUAUGUAAACGACAAGAGAACGGUGAGAAGAUUGCGGAUAAAAACAAAAAUUGUGUGCAAAAUAUGCCACUACAGUUCGCCGUAUGCUACAGCGAGUACAACUAGUUCACAGUUCAGACAUUUGUAGGUCUAGAUUGCAGCUCCUACGACUAUUUGUUUUCCUUUUCAUUCAAGAAUGUAGUUAUCCUGAUUAUUACAACAACAAAGCACUUUUUUAUUGAGAUUUUAUGUUUAUUUGCAUUGUGGUCUAUACAGGGGGGAAAAAAACUACAAAUUUUUUUUUCAAAGAGCAUUUAUUUUUUACUGAUGCAUUUUUUUUUGUAUGUCUGCAUGAGGAAGAAAAUAAAGAAAAUUAGAUUUUUGCAUAACUUCCUACUGUUGGGAUUUUCUUUAAUCUUUAUUUCAUAUGAGUAUUUAGUAUCGUUUCGUGAGUUGACCAUUUCGUUACACCCCUUGUACAUACACAACUGACACUACAACUCUCAGCUCGGAACCUAGAAAAUGAAGUUUGAGCUUCUCAGUAAUCCAUUACCCAGCAGGACAUUACAUUAUUCCCUCGGAGGAUAUUCCCACAGUUAGAAGUGUCCAUGGUAAAACUCUAGAGCUGGUCACCAGUGACAGGAACCGGGGACUAACUACUGAUGAGGACCUUUCUCUCAGAGUUCAUGUCAAGAAUCUAAUGUCUAAAUUAAAGGUGAAGCUCGGUUUUUACUGUAGAAAGAACUCAUGUUUCUCCCUCAGAGCUUGGAAGCAUCUGAUGUCAGCUACUUUUUUGCCUCUACUUGAUUAUGGGAUGUUGUGUUUGUGUGCUUCAACCAGUUGCCCUCAGUCCUGGACUCUGGUCUACUACUGUGCUCUGAGGUUUAUCAAUGGCUGUAGCCGCCUCAUUCUCCAAUGUGAGUUGUAUGUUAAAGCUGUCAUGUCUUCCCUGAAUGUAAGGCGUUCAACACACUGGAUGACUCUGGUCUGUAAGGCACUUUACUUGGUCCUACUUCUUUAUGUAUUUUUCUUCAGAGAACUGGAAGCUGUCAUGUCCUACGAUCACAUGACAUUUUGUGUCUCUCUGCUCCUCGUGUUCGAACUGAAACGGGGGAAAAAGCUUUCAGUGCCUCUGCCCCCUCUGCUCGGAAGGAACUCCAGUCUUAACUGAAACGGUCAGAAUUUGUUUCAUUGGAAGCCUUCAGCUCUAUCUUCAGAAAUCAACUACGGAAAUCCCUCAAACAGUUCCUGUGUUCUUUGUUACUAUAAAAAUAACUCCUGUAUUUUAUGUAUCUAAUGACUUGUGUUUGAUAUUUUAAUGUUUGUUGUUAUUGUUAUGUCUGUUUUUGUUUACUCUGGUGUUUGCUACUGCGUGUCUUUGCCAAGUCACCCUUGUGAAAGAGGUCUCGAUCUCAAUGGGUUUUUUACCUGGUUAAAUAAAGGUUAAAGAAAAAUAAAAUUGUUACAAUCAGUUUUACUUA